UGUCCUGUCUCCUCCUGUUCCUCUUGUCUCUUAUCCUUUCUCAGGCAUUGAGACAGCUGCAGAGACCGCAGAGCUUCCUGAGGCAGAGCAAAGCAAUCACUGUGCGGGCUGGGCCAGCCCUGGCAGCUGCGGCUGCUCCUGUGCGGCCGAAGCAGCGAGCUGCUGUGAGCAGCGGGCCUCCAGACGAUGGCCUGGCAAACGCAGCCCUCUCCUCGCUGCUCUCCCGCCUCUUCUCCACCUUUCCAUGCUCAGAGCCAUCACUUGACGUCCCACAAGUUGGCGGCUCUCCCAGCGCGGGCGCUUCGUCGGCAAACAUGCAUUUAGCCUCAGCCAGGGGGACGCGCGCCUUCACUAUCGCAUUUCUCCACGGGACAGUGGUGGCCGCUGGCAGCAGCAGAGGUGUCUGGAGGAAGAGGGAUGGUGACGACAACACGGUGCACAGCCAAGAUGAGAUGUUCACACAUUCCUGGAAACAACUCAUUGCGUAAAGCAACAGGAAGCUAUUUCUGGAGAGGAGAAAGAGAUGCUCACAGGCUGUGUUUUCGGGGAGGUGUCGGGUCCCUGCUCUGUUGUGGUGCUGGCAAUCGGAGGCUGUGCGGAGGCUGCGGGAGGACCUGGAAUUCAUCUGGCUGCAGCAGCCGGCCAGGGCAAGGAAGGGCCUUGCAUCUGCUUUAAAA